AUUGAACGCUGGCGGCAGGCCUAACACAUGCCAGUCGAGCGAGCGGCGGAAGGGUGAGUAAUGUAUGGGGACUGCCCGAUAGAGGGGGAUCACUACUGGAAACGGUAGCUAAUACCGCAUACUAUCGGAUAACCCAUAUGGGAUUAGAUAGUAGGUGAGGUAAUGGCUCACCUAGGCGACGAUCCCUAUCGGGUCUGAGAGGAUGAGCAGCCAUACUUGGACUGAGACACGGCCCAGGCUCCUACGGAGGCAGCAGUGGGGAAUAUUGCACAAGGGGUGCAAGCCGUAUGCAGCCAUGCCGCGUGUAUGAAGAAGGCCCUAGGGUUGUAAAGUACUUUCAGUCGGGAGGCGUUACCUACAGAAGAAGCACCGGCUAACUCCGUGCCAGCAGCCGCGGUAAUAC
rnacentral:rRNA from 1 species